AUUGAGGAAUCUUUUCAUUGAAAAAUAUCAUGGAAAACUGGUGAAAUGUUAAGUUUUCUUCUGACCUUUUUCUUUUAUUACAGUGGCAAACAUGGAACUCUUCUAAAUGAUAAGAGAGUCCUGCACGACUGUAGAGUAGACCCUCUCUUUGUUGGGUAUGCAAAGCCAUGGUUGGAUCUUGACAACGACAAUUCGUAUUGCCUCUUUUUUCCUUACUCGCCGGAGCACUUGGCACAUUCAGCCC